AGCUUUUUCCAGGUUGCAGUGCGGCCCGAGACAUUACAUCACUCUUCAGAUGCUGGAAGAGAGCAUGGCAGUUCUUCAAUGGAUGGAUUGACCGCUGGGGGGAAGAUCAUUUUCCACUGGGCUGAAGGGAAUUGUAGUUUCAAGCACAGCACACAUGUAAUAUUGGACAAGGGGACUGUGUCCACUCAGGUUGAAAACCAUGUGUAUGAAAUUAGAUUUUUGGCAAACUGAACGGGACUGCAAUGAUACAGAAACAUUAUAAGAUCCUAUAUUGUUUAGAAAAAAUGGAGAUCAAAAUGGGCUCAGAUGCGUUUUUUAUUUUUCCUUUUUAAAGUUGCAGGCACACCAUGAUUUCCCACAGAGUGUCUGAAAUGUCAUUGGCAGAGCAGGGAGAGGGCAUCAUCAAUGACUAGGGCAGACCAGAGCACAGGACUGGAAGAGACACGUGUGAAGGAAACCACAACACCAGCCAAUUCUCACCUCCAAACCAUUGCCACAGCAGACUACAGAGAUGAUCCUU